AGCAGCCGCAGUAAUUCCAGCUCCAAUAGCGUAUAUUAAAGUUGUUGCAGUUAAAAAGCUCGUAGUUGAAUUUCGGGAUCAAUAUGCUGGUCGUGCCUUUGGUACGUACUGGCAUUAUUGGUUUCUCCUUUCUGAUGAAUCACGAUGUCAUUAAUUUGGUGUCAUGGGGAAUCAGGACUGUUACUUUGAAAAAAUUAGAGUGUUUAAAGCGGGCUUACGCUUGAAUACAUUAGCAUGGAAUAAUGAAAUAGGACGUUUAAUUCUAUUUUGUUGGUUUCUAGGAUUGACGUAAUGAUUAAUAGGGAUAGUUGGGGGCAUUAGUAUUCAAUUGUCAGAGGUGAAAUUCUUGGAUUUAUUGAAGACUAACUACUGCGAAAGCAUUUGCCAAGGAUGUUUUCAUUAAUCAAGAACGAAAGUUAGGGGAUCGAAGACGAUCAGAUACCGUCGUAGUCUUAACCAUAAACUAUGCCGACUAGGGAUCGGAUGAUGUUAAUUAUGACUCAUU
rnacentral:rRNA from 1 species